UAGGGUUGAGGAGUUUAUUGUGUUUGGGGGAGAAGUUUACUGUGUUUGGGGAAGAAUUUAUUGUGUUUAGGGGCAGAGUUUAUUGUGUUUAGGGUUGAGGAGUUUAUUGUGUUUAGGGAGAGGAGUUUUUUGUGUUUAGGGGCAGAGUUUAUUUUGUUUAGGGUUGAGGAGUUUAUUGUGUUUAGGGGCAGAGUUUAUCGUGUUUAGUUUUGAGGAGUUUAUUGUGUUUAGGGAGAGGAGUUUAUUGUGUUUGGGGGAGGAGAGUUUAUUGUGUUUAGGGGCAGAGUUUAUUGUGUGAGGGAGGAGGGUGUAUUGUGUUUAGGGAGAGGAGUUUAUUGUGUUUAGGUUUGAGGAGUUUAUUGUGCUUGGGG